GGUUAAGCGACUAAGCGUACACGGUGGAUGCCCUGGCAGUCAGAGGCGAUGAAGGACGUGCUAAUCUGCGAUAAGCGUCGGUAAGGUGAUAUGAACCGUUAUAACCGGCGAUUUCCGAAUGGGGAAACCCAGUGUGAUUCGUCACACUAUCAUUAACUGAAUCCAUAGGUUAAUGAGGCGAACCGGGGGAACUGAAACAUCUAAGUACCCCGAGGAAAAGAAAUCAACCGAGAUUCCCCCAGUAGCGGCGAGCGAACGGGGAGGAGCCCAGAGCCUGAAUCAGUGUGUGUGUUAGUGGAAGCGUCUGGAAAGGCGCGCGAUACAGGGUGACAGCCCCGUACACAAAAAUGCACAUGCUGUGAGCUCGAUGAGUAGGGCGGGACACGUGGUAUCCUGUCUGAAUAUGGGGGGACCAUCCUCCAAGGCUAAAUACUCCUGACUGACCGAUAGUGAACCAGUACCGUGAGGGAAAGGCGAAAAGAACCCCGGCGAGGGGAGUGAAAAAGAACCUGAAACCGUGUACGUACAAGCAGUGGGAGCCUCUUUAUGGGGUGACUGCGUACCUUUUGUAUAAUGGGUCAGCGACUUAUAUUCUGUAGCAAGGUUAACCGAAUAGGGGAGCCGAAGGGAAACCGAGUCUUAACUGGGCGUUAAGUUGCAGGGUAUAGACCCGAAACCCGGUGAUCUAGCCAUGGGCAGGUUGAAGGUUGGGUAACACUAACUGGAGGACCGAACCGACUAAUGUUGAAAAAUUAGCGGAUGACUUGUGGCUGGGGGUGAAAGGCCAAUCAAACCGGGAGAUAGCUGGUUCUCCCCGAAAGCUAUUUAGGUAGCGCCUCGUGAAUUCAUCUCCGGGGGUAGAGCACUGUUUCGGCAAGGGGGUCAUCCCGACUUACCAACCCGAUGCAAACUGCGAAUACCGGAGAAUGUUAUCACGGGAGACACACGGCGGGUGCUAACGUCCGUCGUGAAGAGGGAAACAACCCAGACCGCCAGCUAAGGUCCCAAAGUCAUGGUUAAGUGGGAAACGAUGUGGGAAGGCCCAGACAGCCAGGAUGUUGGCUUAGAAGCAGCCAUCAUUUAAAGAAAGCGUAAUAGCUCACUGGUCGAGUCGGCCUGCGCGGAAGAUGUAACGGGGCUAAACCAUGCACCGAAGCUGCGGCAGCGACGCUUAUGCGUUGUUGGGUAGGGGAGCGUUCUGUAAGCCUGCGAAGGUGUACUGUGAGGUAUGCUGGAGGUAUCAGAAGUGCGAAUGCUGACAUAAGUAACGAUAAAGCGGGUGAAAAGCCCGCUCGCCGGAAGACCAAGGGUUCCUGUCCAACGUUAAUCGGGGCAGGGUGAGUCGACCCCUAAGGCGAGGCCGAAAGGCGUAGUCGAUGGGAAACAGGUUAAUAUUCCUGUACUUGGUGUUACUGCGAAGGGGGGACGGAGAAGGCUAUGUUGGCCGGGCGACGGUUGUCCCGGUUUAAGCGUGUAGGCUGGUUUUCCAGGCAAAUCCGGAAAAUCAAGGCUGAGGCGUGAUGACGAGGCACUACGGUGCUGAAGCAACAAAUGCCCUGCUUCCAGGAAAAGCCUCUAAGCAUCAGGUAACAUCAAAUCGUACCCCAAACCGACACAGGUGGUCAGGUAGAGAAUACCAAGGCGCUUGAGAGAACUCGGGUGAAGGAACUAGGCAAAAUGGUGCCGUAACUUCGGGAGAAGGCACGCUGAUAUGUAGGUGAAGUCCCUUGCGGAUGGAGCUGAAAUCAGUCGAAGAUACCAGCUGGCUGCAACUGUUUAUUAAAAACACAGCACUGUGCAAACACGAAAGUGGACGUAUACGGUGUGACGCCUGCCCGGUGCCGGAAGGUUAAUUGAUGGGGUUAGCGGUAACGCGAAGCUCUUGAUCGAAGCCCCGGUAAACGGCGGCCGUAACUAUAACGGUCCUAAGGUAGCGAAAUUCCUUGUCGGGUAAGUUCCGACCUGCACGAAUGGCGUAAUGAUGGCCAGGCUGUCUCCACCCGAGACUCAGUGAAAUUGAACUCGCUGUGAAGAUGCAGUGUACCCGCGGCAAGACGGAAAGACCCCGUGAACCUUUACUAUAGCUUGACACUGAACAUUGAGCCUUGAUGUGUAGGAUAGGUGGGAGGCUUUGAAGUGUGGACGCCAGUCUGCAUGGAGCCGACCUUGAAAUACCACCCUUUAAUGUUUGAUGUUCUAACGUUGGCCCCUAAUCGGGGUUGCGGACAGUGUCUGGUGGGUAGUUUGACUGGGGCGGUCUCCUCCUAAAGAGUAACGGAGGAGCACGAAGGUUGGCUAAUCCUGGUCGGACAUCAGGAGGUUAGUGCAAUGGCAUAAGCCAGCUUGACUGCGAGCGUGACGGCGCGAGCAGGUGCGAAAGCAGGUCAUAGUGAUCCGGUGGUUCUGAAUGGAAGGGCCAUCGCUCAACGGAUAAAAGGUACUCCGGGGAUAACAGGCUGAUACCGCCCAAGAGUUCAUAUCGACGGCGGUGUUUGGCACCUCGAUGUCGGCUCAUCACAUCCUGGGGCUGAAGUAGGUCCCAAGGGUAUGGCUGUUCGCCAUUUAAAGUGGUACGCGAGCUGGGUUUAGAACGUCGUGAGACAGUUCGGUCCCUAUCUGCCGUGGGCGCUGGAGAACUGAGGGGGGCUGCUCCUAGUACGAGAGGACCGGAGUGGACGCAUCACUGGUGUUCGGGUUGUCAUGCCAAUGGCACUGCCCGGUAGCUAAAUGCGGAAGAGAUAAGUGCUGAAAGCAUCUAAGCACGAAACUUGCCCCGAGAUGAGUUCUCCCUGACUCCCUGAGAGUCCUGAAGGAACGUUGAAGACGACGACGUUGAUAGGCCGGGUGUGUAAGCGCAGCGAUGCGUUGAGCUAACCGGUACUAAUGAACCGUGAGGCUUAACCUU
rnacentral:rRNA from 1 species